AUUGAACGCUGGCGGCAUGCCUUACACAUGCAAGUCGAACGGCAGCACGGGUGCUUCCACCUGGUAGCGAGUGGCGAACGGGUGAGUAAUACAUCGGAACAUGUCCUGUAGUGGGGGAUAGCCCGGCGAAAGCCGGAUUAAUACCGCAUACGAUCUACGGAUGAAAGCGGGGGACCUUCGGGCCUCGCGCUAUAGGGUUGGCCGAUGGCUGAUUAGCUAGUUGGUGGGGUAAAGGCCUACCAAGGCGACGAUCAGUAGCUGGUCUGAGAGGACGACCAGCCACACUGGGACUGAGACACGGCCCAGACUCCUACGGGAGGCAGCAGUGGGGAAUUUUGGACAAUGGGCGAAAGCCUGAUCCAGCAAUGCCGCGUGUGUGAAGAAGGCCUUCGGGUUGUAAAGCACUUUUGUCCGGAAAGAAAUCCUUGGCCCUAAUACGGUCGGGGGAUGACGGUACCGGAAGAAUAAGCACCGGCUAACUACGUG
rnacentral:rRNA from 1 species